UUGGAGAUUUGAAACAGGUUCAAAACAAUACAACUGAUAUUUUCUAUCUAGUUGAAGUGCGUUUCGUUCAAGCAUUUCAUCAAACAUAUGGUGUGCAUGUUAAGUUAUCACGUUAACAUGAUACAUACGAAGAUUACAUGGUACUUAAACACAGAAUGCACAAUGUAAUCUAGUUAUCUGAACAAAAGAUUGCAAAAAAAUAAAGCAUUUAGAGUCUUCAGGAGCAGGCCAUCAAUUUGUUAAAUCAUACCAAAAAGAGAACCAGAGGGGUGAGUUGGGUCCAAUUGGAAAAAGUAAUUGGAGAUUGAAGACGAUGUUGUUAUAGUCGACAAUAACAACCUUCAAGGUUUCUAUUUUGCUGCUGUUUUAGAUGACCAUGGGGGUCUCUUCUAUCAACUUUUGUAUUCUGCACACCAGGUGUUUGUGUUUAUGUCUCAAUCAUCAUGUCUUCAUUUUGUGAAAUAUUUUCACAACCACGAGGAGGAGCUUGUACAAGGAGUGUGUGAAGGCUCUACAAGAGGGUUAAAUGGCCGUUUACCAGCAUUUCCAUGGUUCAUUUAGCCUAUAAAACAAAUAACAAUAGGCCCUUAAUGUGCUGAUAUAAUGUUUUGGCAUCCAUCUUGAAGAUUGUAGUAUCCUGUAUUCAAGCAACAGAGCAAACUAGCACUGGGAAGUUUGAUAGAUAUGGAAACGGAUCUCUAUUCCUAUAUGACCGUGCUAACUUCUGGAAGAUUCUAGAAAUCUAUACAUCUGAGGGUUAUUCCGGAGAAGCAAUGAAGCCAGAUCAGAAAUAUCUUGUCCAUCAACUGCUCAACAUAAUCCUUUGGACAGUGCAAAUUUAUGGCAUAGUGCAUAUCGGCAUAUCGUAAAGACUUUCUAGAAGCUGAAGAAGAUCUAUAUACGAUUCGAGGUUCAAAUGAUCUUUCAGGCCUAGCUCCUGCAGUUGUUCAGCUAAACUUUUUUGCUGAUGUCAUCAUAAUUUACUGACUCUUCUACUCAAUGUGCAUUGAACUGACCGAAGAUUGACCAGCUCCUUCAAAUGAACGGUUCUUAGACGACAGUCAUAUUGAAGAUUUACAGUUGUUGCUGUAUAGUAAGAAUGAAAAUCACAUGUCAGCAAGGAACGUUGUUAAGAAUCUAUGUGACAAACUGAAAGUAUGUGUCACAGGGAUCUGAAAAUACCUGAAAUUUGUAGAAACCAAGCUCCGUGAUGUUCUAAUAUAUAUGAAGUUUAUGACGCUCGAAAACAGUUUACAACAAAAUAUGGAAAAGAUCUCUAUCAAUCUGCUAUUUGUUGUAGUUUAGAUGUUGUUUCGUUAUUUGUUAUAUAUUUCAUA